GUAUCGCCCCCGAAAAAGAACCAAAAAGUUCACUUCGAUUUAGGUCUUUCUGCACCAUAUUAGAACACAUCCUCUUAUGAUUGGAUACAUUUUCCCUCUGCAAAACCGAACACGGUUGCAUUCGCUAUACCGAACAUAUACAAAUGCUCAGUAUAAUACCUUUCUAGUGUAUCAGGGAGGUGCUCCCGUGUGUUAAGAAAAAAAAAGGGAGGUGCUCCCGUGGCACAUAGCCUCACAGCAGCAGUUGAAGUCGUCUCUUGAUCUCGGCACUGCAAACUGCUUCGCCUCUACUGAAGAUUGUUCAACAGAAUGUAACUUCGGGGAACCAUACGAGAACACCCUAAUCUCAGUCCAGGCUGUGUGAGCCUCCAUGAAGUAUUCAGUGACAGAGGUACCUGCGAGCAC
rnacentral:lncRNA from 1 species